UGUGUGUGUGUGCUUGAUGGAGGUAUUCAAUGACUGACGGUUCUGUCAGAAUUGCAUAGGAAGUGGUAAAGGCAGCCGGAGGAGGGCCAGCUCUCUAUGAGGAUUUAUGAGUAGUAUCAUUUAGGACUCUUUGGUAGCAAGUGAGAGACUCUGUUCCACCUCUGCCAACCUAAGCAUACAGGAACCUGUUUCCAUGGUGAUAGCCUCAUGAAUCCAAGAAAGGGCUGGCCAAGCAGGUUUUAAGAUAGAGAAACUUGUGAGAGCUUGGGGACCUUGGUGGCCUUCUCUUAUCCUUAUGUAUCUCCUCAAAGGUGAGAGACCGAGGGCUAAGCUGCUGGUGCCAGGUGCCCAUCAUCCAUCAGCUGCGAUCACAAGCGUCUUGGCUGGCAUUCCCACAGAGGCGGGGGAUGGGAGAGGGCUGGUUUCUGAAGGAAAGCUUGCUGCUGCUUCUGGAGGCAGAGGAAUGGGCACUGGGCAGGCGAACCGGAGGGGCACAUACCAUGGCACCUGGAUCUGCUAGCUAACUGUUGCUGUUUCCCCGGCCCUAUCCCACCACACCCAGCUGCACUGUUUUCCAGAGAAAUGUCUACCCACUGGAACUUUUGAGGGAAUCCUCCAAUGAACUCUAAGGGAUCCUGCAGAAGCACACCUCUCUGAUACCUAGGGAAGUGUCAGGGUUGGCCAAGAGGCAGACAUGUUGAACAAGGAGAAACAGCCUCUUCUGAAGAAAUAGAAAGCUGAUUGGGACAUAAAAGAACUAUAAACAAUAUGGAGGCUUAACGACAACUCCAGCAGGAGUGAUGGUCUCCAACAAAAGGACAAGAAGGAAGCAGAGUGGAGACUGCAGUCAAGUGAGAAGAAAGGGAGCAGGUCUGAUGGCUUAAAAAGGCUUCUUUGAAGGGAGGGCACACAACUUACUUCUCUGUUCCCUUAAGGGAGUGGUCGCUAGCCAGGGAAAGGAGGCAAAACUGUUUGAGGAAAAGAAAUGUUGACUUAGAGGUAUGAGCUUGAGUUUUUAUUUACUGUUAAAAAAAUUAAAUCACAUUUCACUUCAUUGUACCACUGGUCUCCAUGGCUGACGUUAUACAUUUCAUGUUUCGAGGCUGAGCUGAAAGUGAAUGGGGGCUCCGGCUUAAUAAGGGAAGAGCCACUCCUGACUCACGUUGGCAGCAGAAAUUGAACCACUUUUUCGCCUGAUUCAAUUGUUUCUCAGAGAAGGAAAACAGUGUUGUUGAUUGAUCAUGGUGAUGAUAAAUAGUGUGAUGGUGAUGAUGGUGGUGGUGGUGAUGGCGGCGAUGAUGAUUAACCUAUAUUGUUGCUUUAUCUUGUUCCAAGAACUGUUCUAUAUGCUUUAGAAUAAAAUAUCCCACUUAGUCAUUAUACCAUAGAUUUGGCCCUCCAGUUUUAAGUCAGGAAACUGAGGUUCAGCAAGGUUAAGUAGCUUAGAAUCAUAACCUUAGAUUCUAUGAGUUUAAUAAUCUCUCCAUCUCCACAGGUCUCCAUGCACCGCAGUGGUUUCCUGGAAUAAAGCUGAGGAAAGGUGAUCUCACCCCCGUCUACAUGGAGGAAGUUGUGCGAGUAUGGGGCUUCCACGAGAUGUUUCUUCACUGAUGGAAGGGAUUUAAUGUGUGCUUCCCUGGGAUUGCCACAGCAAAGAAAUGAUUUUUACAAGACCUUGCUCAUGACCUGCCUCCUGUUAUCCAAUGUCUCCUCACCGAAUAUAAGAGCCUCCUCCUGAAUCUGUCAGAAGGAUCUUGGAAGGAAAGGAUGAGAGAGAAAAACAGGCCUUCAGAGCUGGAGAACGGAUAUGAUUAUCUAUAACCCAGAUCAAGACCAGCUCCUCCAUUGAUUCUCAGCUUUGUGGAUAAGACUAAGUGAAGACAGUGCCCACUGAGCCCUGGGCCUGUGUUCCUGGGACUCUCGUUGCAGAACAGGUCCAUGACGGUGUUAGAACCUUCAGUGUCCCUGCCUUCCUGUAUCUUGGGUGUCCACAUUACCUGAUUGUUGAUGAACCUACAUGAUGAAGGUUGCUCAUGUUCUGGGUUUCCUGUUCCUGUCUUAGGUCAGUUUCCCUUUUCUCCACGUUCAUCUUCCUUUCCAUUUCCACGGUUCUGCUUAAGUGUUAGCCCCUUGAACUUGAGCACAGGAGUCCCAGGUUUUAUGGGAGGGAGAAUACUGAAGCAGGAUUCUGAGGAUGGGGUAAGUUGGAUGCUGUACAGAGUAGACUGGAUGCUGCAUCUGCUAAUCUAAUCAUAGACAUGCUUGGAGGACAAAGGGGCUUUAUGUCAGUUUGUGAGGGAGGGGAGAGAGAGAGAGAGCAAGGAGAGAGAGAGAGAGAGAGAGAGAGAGAGAGAGAGAGAGAGAGGCGUUUAAGCUAUUAAACUAUUAGGAUUUUGGGACUGACUAAUCUUUCUGGUUUCUUCUGUGAACUGUAACUAAUUGACAGUUAACCAUUCUAGACUCUGCUUCUAGAACUCUGAGUCCUAUUCGCAAGACAAGUAGCUAUGAAGAGCAAGACAAAGUGUCCCCCAUCAGCAAAUUAAAAUGUCAGAGUCACGGUUUAAACAGCAAGACACGUGUGGGGCAUGCCCACGAAGUCGACAAAUUCAAACAACUUUAGUCUUCUUCCUCAGCUCCUUCCUCCUCAUGGUGGUGCACUGAAGUCUUGCUGUAAUUGCACGAAGAGUGCCACUGUGUGGGGGAGCAUUCUGGAAGAGGCUGGGAGAAGGCAGGGGAGCCAGGCAGGCAGAGUGGUUCCUGCCCUCAGGGAGCUUUGACGCUGUAGCCAGAAGCUUUGAUUGUGUUCUAAGAAUUCUCUUUGCAGGCUCCUGGCUGCAUUAGGAGGAACUCGAAAGCUGAUUUAAAAUAAUUUCCUACCAAGGGAACAGAGUGGGAAUCCGGAUGGAUGGAGAAUUGUUAAUUUGACAUUUAAGAUUGAGGGACAAGUGGGUAUUUGUCUCAUCCCCUCGGGUUUUUUUUCUCCGUGGGAGAGAAGCAGCCAGCCUCACUGAUUGUCAAGUGUUAAUGGGAACCCUUCCAUUUUUCCCUAUUGAAAACAUGUAAUUUAAUGUGAAGCUUCUAUUGGUGGGCCGUGAGCAGGCAGAAUUCUCAGGAUAAUGAACUUGAUUUUCCACUUGAAAUGCAAUCCGCAUUCACGAAUUAUCUUUUUAUAAGGGAGACAUGGAGCAAAGUGGCUCACCCAUACAUCUCAGUUGACCUCACAAACACCUCUGAAGAGAGCGUCAUUACCUAUCUUUUAUAGACAACAAGGGGAAAUGGUAGCCUGGGGCUCUGGACUGUGCCAGUUCACUUCUGGUAGAUGAACAACUUGUUAUUUCGUUUCCCUUGGUCGAAUUGUUAUAAACAUUGCAACAUUAACACCUGCAUGACAUUUGCACGACUCAGCGCUUCGCAGCCUGGUCACGUGUCUUCUGUGGCUACUCUGCUAACCCUGUGUGCUUCAUCUGUAACAAUGGGUAAGCCCAGAUCUCUGCAGCCCAGCUUGCUUUUGUCCUAGACUAAAUCGAUAGCAAUCCAGCCUCCAGAAGUCUAAUCUAUUUCUUUAUUUGCAGAGUCUCUCUGGGGUGACACCCUUGGCCAGAGAAGACAACACUGGCACUCUCCUGUCAGAGUCCGAAAGCUCAAGAUGUAGAUGCUGUUACCACCUUGCCUGGGGCUUCCUGCUACUUGGCUGUCUUGAGUCAACAAUAGCCAAGGGGACAGAAGAAAGAGAGAAAAGUUAUAUCUAUAUGUUUGAACAGUUUGAUCCCUAAUGGAAUGGACGCUGGAGAUGAGGCAAACACAGCCCAGAGAGAACCACCAUUGUGACGCAUUAGAGAAGCACCCAUGACGAUCAAUCACUGCUGAUGGCCUGGACCGCCAGCAUCAAUACUCUAGCACUCUGGAGACUUGGAAAGUAAAACAAAGGUUGCUUGAACGCAAACACUCUGCCACAGCGUUUUAUCUGAUAGUGGGGGUGCGCGCUCCACUCAGUGACUGACAGGCAAGUAACAUAUACAGUGUGCACACGUUGGAUGGAGGGACAUAUCCCACAACCGGAUGGAGCCAGUGAAUGAUACGAGGACAUGAUUGCCCUAAGGUAUGGCUGAGGAGAAGGUUUUAAUGUAGACGUGAGGCAGAGUACGGCCAGAGGCAUCUGGGAGAGUUCAGAUCAAACCAGGCCAUAAGAGGAAAAAACAAGGGGUGGAGGUGAGAGGGAAAAAGAAGAGUGGGGACAAUCAGACUAAGAGAACCAAGAGCAAGUCAAGAGAGACAGAACAACCAAGAGGGGCUGAAAUGCCAGGGUUCUAUAGGAGAGAGAAGCUGGCAGGGAAGGGAGUCAAGCCCCAGGACUAUAGAGGUUUAGGGUAGCGGUAUAGUGAGAAGAGCUGAGAAGAGCCAAGACUCUGUAACUGGGACUUACAAUACUGAGAGAACCCAGAGGUCAGCAUGUGCUUUGGUUUGCUGCCAUUUGUCCCUGAGUUUCUCUGGGACCUGACAGCCAGGUAGGCUGAGGUUUUAUUACACUACUCACCAUGAUGAACAAUUUAGAACUCAUCAAUUAUUCAUGUCUGGGAUUUUUCCAUUUAACAUUUUGUGCAGCAAGUUGUGUAGGUAAGUAAAUCAUGGACAACAGAACUCCGGAGGCUGCAGCGGGAGAACUCCUGAGUGCCUAUUAAAUGACUUGGUUCUGGUUCCAAUGGCGGAGGUUCUGAAGUGGGCACUGCCAGCACCUACUGAAUUCUUACCAGCUCCGAGCGACUCUAACGUGGGUGUUCUCAGAACCACAUUUUGAGAAACAGUCCUCCGUAUUGACAUAAUUGGCAGCAUCCUUCCUUUAAACACUUCCCUUUGGUUGCUAUGAUACACCCCUCCUCCCCAAGUUCUGUGGGCUCUCUAAUUCUGUUCUCCAUCUCCCACUUCCUCUCCAGCCUGUACCACUGUCCCCAGACUCUCUGCUCCUUCCUCCGCUGUCUGUCCCCUGGGGCAUGGCUCCAACUUGGGCAGAUGGUCCAACCUUGCCCUGGUGAGUGCCAGCCUCCUGGUGAGAUCCGUGGAUUUUGGAACAGAGUUGUACUUCAUUCAGCCUGGGUCCAGGACUUAGCUGUGAAGAAGGUGAUAUUGACGCUGCUGCUCCAAUCACCCCCACCCUGCUCUGGGCCUUUCCUCUUCCAUUAAGAUCUCCUGCUUUGCAGUUUUCUAAUCAAAUUAGUUCCGAGGGAAGAGCUGAUCUGUUUACACGGUCACACUAAUGUGCCAACUCUCCCAGUCACUGGCAUUUGCAAAGCCUUUUUCCGUCUUUGUGGUUUCAACCCUGUUAUUUCAGGCUUCCCUUAGCAGAUAGGGUGAUUCAGAAGGGCACGACCAAGGGAUAGGGCGAGCUGAUUUGAGAAGGGCUGGCUCUUCUCUUCUUCGACAUUUCUAGGAGCGUAGACUGAAAACUAGCCUGUCAAACGGCUGGGAGGGCAGGACUUGGACCUUCUAGGUCUUGGGCAAGGAUAAGCAAUAACUGCAGUCACAAUAGGCCAGACCCUAGAAGCACGGAGGAUAAGGACAGACUACAGAGCUGCAAUUGGGCUUACUUCCUGCCACGCCUACCCAUGGCCACGCCUACCCAUAGCCACUCCUACCCAUAUACUUCUAAGAGCUCCUCUUCACUGGUCAGGUCUCAUCUUAAAAGUUCUCUCUUGGGAAUAAAUAGCCUGACCUGGCCGCCAGGUUGUGGUCCCUUUUUGUGAUCCUGUGUUAGCAACCGCUUGCCUUUGUUGUAUUUAUCACAGGUUGUAAUUAUUUGAUUUCCUUCUUCCUGUCUCCUUCUGGAGUUAAGUAAGGCUCCAGGCGGGUGAGACCAGGCUGCCUCACACCCCUUCUAUGCAGGUUCAAAACAGAGAUCAACAGGAAGCCGGAAGGACAGCAUGAACAAGCCCUACCACCCUGCAGUCCCCGAGCUGAAGCAAACUGUCCUCAAUAGGCAUGUGGUGCAGAAAGGCAGAAAACUGACAGUAAUAUAAAUGAUUCUUGUAUGUAAAACUGCCAAUAGAUGUUUGCCCAGUAGAGGGGGCAAUUGGCGCUUUUCCUGCGACUAUCAAGAUCUGAAUGCGCCAUAGUUUUCCUGAGGUCCCGUGUGCUCUUAGAAUUCUCCUUUGAGCCAGUCAGAACAUCUUACUGACUGCCUCAUUAGUUGGUAAAAUAACAUCUCUGACAAUCUCUGACAUAUUAGUUUCAUAUUUGUACCUGAGUCAAAUGUUUAGCUUCUUAAAAAUAUUUUUUUCAUUCGAACUUCAUGGAAACCAAGUAUUUUGUGCAUCAAAAGAUACUAUCAGGAAAAUGAAAAGUCCCCCUACAAAUGGAGGAAAAAAAACCCAACCCACACACAAAUCACAUCUAGAGAAUAAAGAACUAAACUUCAGCAAUACCGACAGGAGCAGUGACAAACAAACACAAACAAAACAACAACAAUAACAAAACCAAUUAAAAAUGGUCAAAGGCUUCAAUUAGGCAGCUCUCUAAAGAAAAUACAAAAGCACAUGUGAAUGUCACCAGAGUUGUUAGGUCAAAGCCUGAGCUCUCCUGGCAUAGCGGAAGGACCACAGGACAAAGGCAAGCUGGCAGAGGAUAGACAAAGACUGUCCCCAUGUAACUUCACAUAACUAACAUCAGUCUGCAGAAAAGCCCUUGACAUAGGAGCCAGGUAGAUGGUUGCUGUGUAACCAUAAAGGUUACUCACCUUGUGACCCCGUGCUUUGGUUUGAUUUGUUUCCCCCUCACUACUCUAGCCACACCUAUGCGAAGGAGCAUUUUCCCUCCAGUCUGAUUCUGUCUCUAACCAUGUGUCCCCGGUGGACUCCUUUGACACAGUAUAAAAGCCUGAAAUUGGGUGCCCUCAGAACUCAGAUCUACAGUCUGGCAUGAAAAUUCUCUCUCUCUCUCUCUCUCUCUCUCUCUCUCUCUCUCUCUCUCUCUCUCUCUCCCCUUCCUUCCCUAUUCCUCCCUCCCUACUUCUCCAUCUGUCCUUGAUAAUUCUACUCCUAGAUGUAAAUACAGGAGACUGAAAGCAGGGAUUUGACAGAUGUUUGAGCAUGGCCAUAGCAGCAUUAGUAACAGCAGCCAAUGUUGAAGUAAUCUGAAGCCAGGUAAGCCAGGUAGAUAUCUAUGAUCUUAUUACGAAGCUGAGGUAGGACUAUCAAGAGUCAAGGCCAGCCUAGAGAUCCUGUCACACACACACACACACACACACACACACACACACACACACACACACACACACACACGGGGGGGGGCGCAUGAUAGAGAGAAUCAACCAGCAGAUAAUGAAUGAAUGAAUGAAAUAUUGCAUAUAAAUACAGUGGGGGAUGCUAUUCAACCACUUAGAGGAAUAAAAUGCCAAUAUAUGCUACAAAUGAAUGGACUUUGUGUUAAUUCGGGUUUCCAUUCUGUGAUGAAACAUCAUGACCAAAACCAGCUUGAGGUGGGAAGGGUUUAUUCUGUUUACACUUCCAGGUAACAGUCCAUCACUAAUGGGAGUCCGGGAGGUACCUUAAGGGCAGAUGCUGAAGGCGCAGGAGCUGAUGCAGAGGCCGUGAAGGGGGGCUUCUUACUGGCUUGUUCCUCAUGGCUUGC
rnacentral:sRNA from 1 species